AUGUCGGGCCAGAGGAUGAGCCUUCUCUCCCAGAUCAAUGACAGAGAGAUGUUCUGGAAUGCUAAGGUUCUGGUGUCCCGCAUGUGGCACUACCGAGGUGGGACCGAUGAAGGUCCCAUUAUCCAUACUGACAUUGUGGUGCUUGACAAAGAGGGAACCCACAUGUAUGGCCGGAUCCCUACUGAGCCAGCUAUCAGCCUGCAAGAUGUCUUGCAGGAAGGCAGUGUUUAUCUAAUGAAGAGAUUCAUGUGCAAACCAUCAAAGCCCACUUACAGGGCUGUUGACAGCCCAUUUAUGAUGCAGUUCACUCGCUUUACUACUGUUGAUCCUGUGGUGGAUGAUGAAGAAGAUUUCCCAUACUGCACUUACAGCCUUAUGUCCUUCUCGGAUAUCCCAAUACCAGGCCCGCACACUCCUCACUUUAUCGACGUGAUUGGCCGAAUUAUUGCUGUCACAGACAUUGUUGUUGUACACUCACAGCAUCAAGCUGGUCCUUCAGAUACCAGGACUGUGGUUCUCCAGGAUCAAAUCGGAAAUGAAAUCAGCCUUGUUCUCUGGGGUGCUCGAGCCCAUGAGUUCGAGGCAGAAGAGGUCCGUGCUGCAAGUGAAUCCACAGCUGUCAUUGCUAUCUUUGUAGGAACACUGCCAAAAGCAUACCGAGGUAUUAAAGGCCUGAGUGGUAGCUCUGCAUGCCGCUGGUACAUUGAUGAGGACCCGCCAGAGAUGAAUGCCUUUCGUGCUAGCCUUGCAGAAGGGCUUCCUGCCAUCAGUGCUCACAUCCCAGGAGAACAAGCGAUUGUUCCAGCACCUGUUCACGAACCUCCUGUUGAACUGACUGUUCAGGAGUUGCUUGCCCUUGACCCAUUUGACAACUUGAAGAAACAGUUUAUCGUCAAGGUUACUAUCACAGGCUUGGGCUCUGACAACCGCUGGUGGUUCCUCUCGUGCCGGAAAUGCCAUAAAACAGCCUACACCUACGGAAGAUACUACGUGUGCACUUUCGGAAGCGAUGGCGCAAAUGAAGCAGAAUUUAUGUUCUUUGAUAGGGCUGCAAAACAAGUUGUUGGCAAGCCACUCAUGACUUUGAUUCACCGCAAGUACCCAGAUGAACACUCCUAUAUCUGCAUUCAAAGGAAAAGGACAGGCUAUUGUGCCUAA
rnacentral:rRNA from 1 species